rnacentral:rRNA from 1 species
UGAGGAAUAUUGGUCAAUGGACGUAAGUCUGAACCAGCCAAGUAGCGUGCAGGAUUGACGGCCCUAUGGGUUGUAAACUGCUUUUGUUGGGGAGUAAAGUGAGGCACGCGUGCCUUUUUGCAUUUACCCUUCGAAUAAGGACCGGCUAAUUCCGUGCCAGCAGCCGCGGUAAUACGGAAGGUCCAGGCGUUAUCCGGAUUUAUUGGGUUUAAAGGGAGUGUAGGCGGUCUGUUAAGCGUGUUGUGAAAUUUAGGUGCUCAACAUCUACCUUGCAGCGCGAACUGGUUCACUUGAGUAUGCACAACGUAGGCGGAAUUCGUCGUGUAGCGGUGAAAUGCUUAGAUAUGACGAAGAACUCCGAUUGCGAAGGCAGCUUACGGGAGCACAACUGACGCUGAAGCUCGAAGGUGCGGGUAUCAAACAGGAUUAGAUACCCUGGUAGUCCGCACAGUAAACGAUGGAUGCCCGUUGUUAGUUCACUUUCGAAUUAGCGACCAAGCGAAAGCAUUAAGCAUCCCACCUGGGGAGUACGCCGGCAACGGUG